rnacentral:rRNA from 1 species
UGGGUAACCUGCCUCAAAGAGGGGAAUAGCCUCCCGAAAGGGAGAUUAAUACCGCAUAAUAUGUUUUGGUCACAUGGCCUUAACAUCAAAGGAUUUCUUCGGAAAUUCACUUUGAGAUGGACCCGCGGCGCAUUAGCUAGUUGGUGAGGUAACGGCUCACCAAGGCGACGACGGGUAGCUGGUCUGAGAGGAUGGCCAGCCACAUUGGGACUGAGACACGGCCCAGACUCCUAGG